UACGAAGGGGGCUAGCGUUGCUCGGAAUUACUGGGCGUAAAGGGAGCGUAGGUGGACUGUUUAGUCAGAGGUGAAAGCCCAGGGCUCAACCUUGGAAUUGCCUUUGAUACUGGCGAGUCUUGAGUACGGAAGAGGUAUGGUGGAACUCCGAGUGUAGAGGUGAAAUUCGUAGAUAUUCGGAAGAACACCAGUGGCGAAGGCGACAUACUG
rnacentral:rRNA from 1 species